rnacentral:rRNA from 1 species
UACGGGGGGGGCAAGCGUUGUUCGGAAUUACUGGGCGUAAAGGGUUCGUAGGUGGCUUGCUAAGUCAGACGUGAAAUCCCUCAGCUUAACUGGGGAACUGCGUCUGAGACUGGUGAGCUUGAGUGCAGGAGAGGAACGCGGAAUUCCAGGUGUAGCGGUGAAAUGCGUAGAUAUCUGGAGGAACACCGGUGGCGAAGGCGGCCUUCUGGACAGCGACUGACGCUGAGACGCGAAAGCGUGGGGAGCAAACAGG